rnacentral:rRNA from 1 species
UACGAAGGGGGCUAGCGUUGCUCGGAAUCACUGGGCGUAAAGCGCACGUAGGCGGGUCGUUAAGUCAGGGGUGAAAUCCUGGAGCUCAACUCCAGAACUGCCCUUGAUACUGGCGAUCUCGAGUUCGGGAGAGGUGAGUGGAACUGCGAGUGUAGAGGUGAAAAUUCGUAGAUAUUCGCAAGAACACCAGUGGCGAAGGCGGCUCACUGGCCCGAUACUGACGCUGAGGUGCGAAAGCGUGGGG